UUUGUAUUGUUUACAAUCGUUUU
rnacentral:snRNA from 1 species